UGGGGAUUAGGAUUAGAGGCAGGCUGUUACGUUCAUGACGGCAGCUCGCGGGUUCAACUCCCGCAUCCCCACCA
rnacentral:tRNA from 1 species